rnacentral:misc_RNA from 1 species
AACCUAGCACACCUGCGGUGUGUACCUGCGGAAGGAUCAUCACUGAUUCAGGGAGUGUGGCGCGUGUGCCGCGCUUUUGUGCGUGCGCACGCGCCGCGUCCCAACCCAAUCUUUUGUGCACGGUUUCACGGUCAACGAGACGCCGCGUGUGUGUGUUGGCAAGUCCCACCAAGACUUGCCAACCGCAUGCGUCUGUGCGUUCUCUGCGUAAUCUCUUGUACAAUCUCUGUCUAACGUAUC